UACGUAGGUGGCGAGCGUUAUCCGGAAUUAUUGGGCGUAAAGAGCGCGCAGGUGGUUGAUUAAGUCUGAUGUGAAAGCCCACGGCUUAACCGUGGAGGGUCAUUGGAAACUGGUCGACUUGAGUGCAGAAGAGGGAAGUGGAAUUCCAUGUGUAGCGGUGAAAUGCGUAGAGAUAUGGAGGAACACCAGUGGCGAAGGCGGCUUCCUGGACAGCAACUGACGCUGAGGCGCGAAAGCGUGGGUAGCGAACAGGAUUAGA
rnacentral:rRNA from 1 species